rnacentral:rRNA from 1 species
GUGAGGAAUAUUGGUCAAUGGACGAGAGUCUGAACCAGCCAAGUCGCGUGAAGGAAGACGGUUCUAUGAAUUGUAAACUUCUUUUGUGCAGGAAUAAAGUGGGUUACGUGUAACCUUUUGUAUGUACUGUACGAAUAAGGAUCGGCUAACUCCGUGCCAGCAGCCGCGGUAAUACGGAGGAUACGAGCGUUAUCCGGAUUUAUUGGGUUUAAAGGGUGCGUAGGUGGAUUGAUAAGUCAGCGGUGAAAGUUUGCAGCUUAACUGUAAAAUUGCCGUUGAACCUGUCGGUCUUGAGUGCAAAUGAGGUAGGCGGAAUGUGUUGUGUAGCGGUGAAAUGCUUAGAUAUAACACAGAACUCCGAUUGCGAAGGCAGCUUACUGGGAUGCAACUGACACUGAUGCACGAAAGCGUGGGUAUCAAACAGGAUUAGAAACCCGAGUAGUCC